GUGAAGAUGGAUAUUUUGGAUCUAACUGUGCAUUGAAGUGUCGAUAUCCUACGUUUGGAAAACAGUGUCAGUCGUUGUGCAACUGUGAUAUUCUGAACUGUGAUUAUGCCAACGGUUGUAUACAGCCUACAAAAAAAUAUAAGAACCAAUCUACAAUGCACAAAAUCUCCUUAACAAUCACAAAAAGAUCUAUUGAACUUGAUAACGUCACCAGUUAUAAAGGUUUUUCCAAUGUUACGACAGUCGCAACGAAUUUUACUUAUCCUGUUCGUGAAUCAAAACAUGAAAUGAUUAACACUAUACUGUUUGGUAUGAUCGGACUAGCAGCAGUGUCGUUUAUCAUAUAUAUGAUAUACAUUUACACUAUAUCAUUAGAAAAACGUCUUGUAUACACAGCCCCUAUUUAG